rnacentral:rRNA from 1 species
GUGCCAGCCGCCGCGGUAAUACAGGGGCCCCAAGCGUUAAUCGGAAUUACUGGGCUUAAAGGGUGCGUAGGCGGUCCCGUAAGUGCUCUGUGAAAGCCCUCGGCUCAACCGAGGAACAGCAGGGCAUACUGCGGGACUUGAGGAAGGUAGAGGCCGUUGGAACGCUCGGUGGAGCGGUGGAAUGCGUAGAGAUCGAGCGGAACGCCAAAAGUGAAGACAGACGGCUGGGCCUUUCCUGACGCUGAGGCACGAAAGCGUGGGGAGCAAACCGGAUUAGAAACCCUUGUAGUCC